CUAGACAAGGCUUCCUUGUUAAUUAAGAAGCUUUAACUGCUAAGGAGAAAAGGGUAGGCCCACUUUUUGGAUGCCUGUCCUUAUGGGUGAUUGUGAUUUGACUCUCCCAUUGUUUUUGGGCUCCAUUAGUGAACAGAUUUCAUUUGGAAGUUUUCUUUUCAACCAUUAGAGCAUAUGCACCGAGUUAAAUGCCUGUUUCACUAUCUGCAGAUCAUUUAUCAUAGUUUUGAGAUAUGCUUCCC
rnacentral:lncRNA from 1 species